rnacentral:rRNA from 1 species
UACGUAGGCAGCAAGCGUUGUUCGGAGUUACUGGGCGUAAAGGGUGCGUAGGCGGCUUCUUAAGUCUGGUGUGAAAUCUCCCGGCUCAACUGGGAGGGUGCGCCGGAUACUGAGGGGCUAGAGUGUGGGAGAGGAAAGUGGAAUUCCUGGUGUAGCAGUGAAAUGCGUAGAUAUCAGGAGGAACACCGGUGGUGUAAACGGCUUUCUGGACCAUAACUGACGCUGAGGCACGAAAGCGUGGGUAGCAAACAGG